rnacentral:rRNA from 1 species
AGUGAACGCUGGCGGCGUGGCUAAGACAUGCAAGUCGAGCGAGAAAUUUCCUUCGGGAAGUGGAUAGCGGCAAACGGGUGCGUAACACGUAAGCAACCUGCCCUUAAGUCGGGAAUAGCCUACCGAAAGGUGGAUUAAUACCGGAUGUGGUCCUUUUCUGCAUAGAAAAGUAACUAAAAUUUGUAAUGAUGCUUAAGGAGGGGCUUGCGACCUAUCAGCUAGUUGGUGAGGUAACGGCUCACCAAGGCGAAGACGGGUAGCUGGUCUGAGAGGACGGCCAGCUACACUGGAACUGAGAUACGGUCCAGACACCUACGGGUGGCAGCAGUUUCGAAUCAUCCACAAUGGGCGAAAGCCUGAUGGUGCGACGCCGCGUGAGGGAUGAAGGCCUUCGGGUUGUAAACCUCUGUCACCGGGGAGCAAAUGUAAGACUCAUACUCUUACUUGAGUUAACCCGGAGAGGAAGCAGUGGCAAACUCUGUGCCAGCAGCCGCCGUAACAC